CUAUGGAGACAUUUAUAUUACUGACUAUUUAAUUCUAUUUAGUUUUCAGAGAUCGUCACACAUCUUUAAAU
rnacentral:misc_RNA from 1 species